UACGUAGGGUGCAAGCGUUUGUCCGGAAUUAUUGGGCGUAAAGAGCGUGUAGGCGGCCCGAUUAGUCCGCUGUGAAAGUCCAGGGCUCAACCCUGGAAUGCCGGUGGAUACUGUCGGGCUAGAGUCCGGAAGGGGCGAGUGGAAUUCCCGGUGUAGUGGUGAAAUGCGUAGAUAUCGGGAGGAACACCAGUGGCGAAGGCGACUUCCUGGCCUGUUCUUGACGCUGAGGCGCGAAAGCUAGGGGAGCAAACGGG
rnacentral:rRNA from 1 species